GGCUCAGGACGAACGCUGGCGGCGUGCUUAACACAUGCAAGUCGAACGGAAAGGCCCUUCGGGGUACUCGAGUGGCGAACGGGUGAGUAACACGUGGGUGAUCUGCCCUGCACUUUGGGAUAAGCCUGGGAAACUGGGUCUAAUACCGAAUAGGACCACGCGCUUCAUGGUGUGUGGUGGAAAGCUUUUGCGGUGUGGGAUGGGCCCGCGGCCUAUCAGCUUGUUGGUGGGGUAAUGGCCUACCAAGGCGACGACGGGUAGCCGGCCUGAGAGGGUGACCGGCCACACUGGGACUGAGAUACGGCCCAGACUCCUACGGGAGGCAGCAGUGGGGAAUAUUGCACAAUGGGCGCAAGCCUGAUGCAGCGACGCCGCGUGAGGGAUGACGGCCUUCGGGUUGUAAACCUCUUUCAAUAGGGACGAAGCGCAAGUGACGGUACCUAUAGAAGAAGCACCGGCCAACUACGUGCCAGCAGCCGCGGUAAUACGUAGGGUGCGAGCGUUGUCCGGAAUUACUGGGCGUAAAGAGCUCGUAGGUGGUUUGUCGCGUUGUUCGUGAAAACUCACAGCUUAACUGUGGGCGUGCGGGCGAUACGGGCAGACUAGAGUACUGCAGGGGAGACUGGAAUUCCUGGUGUAGCGGUGGAAUGCGCAGAUAUCAGGAGGAACACCGGUGGCGAAGGCGGGUCUCUGGGCA
rnacentral:rRNA from 1 species